CCCCUGCUCAAUGAAAAAAUUAAAUAGCCGCUUUGGCGUUAAGGUAGCAUAAUAAUUAACCCUUUAAUUGGGGGCUGAGUUCCUUGUGACAUCUUUUGGUCUUUGGUUGUGAGUUGUGACACGAGUGAAGUCGCGCUAGCAGAGAAGAG
rnacentral:rRNA from 1 species